UGGUGUUCAGUCUGCCACAAGCACCCCCGACCUUUUGUUACCCUUACAGAGAGACACCGUGAUGAAAACACAGAUGUUGAACAUGGCUACAGCCUCAGCGUGAUUUCUAAGCCUGACACCUAAGGCUGAAACCAGAAAGAAAGAAAGAAAAGACAGACGCAUAGUGAGCCAUCAUUGUGAUGCUGCAGAAGACUCGGGGUCUGGCCUAUGAUGCAGCAAACCCACUUUCACCAACAGACAAUCCGAGAGCCAAGGCCCAGCGGGACAUCAGGAGGCACGUAAGCCAGCAAUACUGAUGCUGGAUGGUUUCUGGCAAGCGCUCACCACGUGCUGGGCACUGCACGUGCUACCUGAUUGCAAUCAUUGUGCAGAGAAUUAAAUAACAGCAGCGGCAUCUAAACAGCUGAGGCACAGAAAGACUGCCCUGCCAUUGACGGAGAGCCUUCCUUAACUGGAAACACCAAGCAAAGUGUACAAAACCAAAAGGGAGCUGGCUCAGAGCAGGAGCACAGCUGCCAAAGGCUGGAACCUGGCGCCGCUGCCUUCUCCCUGGAAGAGGGUGAUGGGGCCACUGGGAGAGCAUGCAGAUCCCCAGAGCCUCAUCGCCACCCCUACUCCCCUCCCCGACCGAGAAUGAAUCUCAGGGAUCAGAAUACCUCCCUGGAGAGACUGCUGUCAGGAUUGAAGGAGAUGAUGUAGCUGGCUUCCUCAUGGACAGAUGUUUACUAACUCUGCAAUACGGACCCGUAGAGAAGACGGAAGAAUGAGAGAGAAGAUGUGGAAGGAGACAGACCAGUCCAAUCCAAUCCUCUUCCACUAACCAAGAAUACAACCCAUCCUCUUCCACUAACCAAGAAUACAAUGCUGUUUCCCUACAUGUUUAAAGAAGAAGUCUGUUCCGUUGAUCAGCUGUUAGUAACGUGGAGGUAGACAUCGAGAGAGAAGGCAGCAUCUCGACUUAUGAUAUGUUACCUAGGUGACACCUAGAAACACGCCCAAAGGCAGGGAGAGAGGCCUCUGGUCCCAGAAUCACUGCCCCAUUGUUGUGGUCUUUUAUGAGAGACUACCACUGAAGACCUAUAUAGUGACGGUACAUUUUUACAGUCCUCGCAUAAAUCAGUGAAUUGUCCUGCUAGUCUCAUGGGUUAGGUGAUGAUUUAGGAUCUGGAUUGGAAAUGGUUCACUGAUUAAUCAACACGAAAGUGCAAGGUGUCAACAGACAAAAUACGAAAAUACCCAAUUUGUCACCCUGACAAAUUCUACAACUAGCUUCCACCCUCUUGAGAGCACGGGCACGUCUCUAAAUGGGAUGGCAUCAGAGGAGAAAACCUGUGUGCAUCUGCAUCAUAGGGGUUAGACUGGUCUAAGGUACGUUCAGUUUAAUGGUUCUUUAAUGAAAACACCGGGGUCCCUCCCGACCUGUGUAGAACGCGCUACCAUCUUCUCCAUCCUCCGCUUUUUCCAUGAUUACACGUCAACUUACAAGCUAGGGAGAAACAACUCAGACAUUCGCUAAGCUAAGCUGCCCUGCGAGGGAGGACGAGACAACUGUAUGAACUCAGACCUGAGUUGAGCUGAGCUGCUCUGCCCGGUCCUUUUCUCCGAUUCAGCGGAAUUUCUUCCGACUACAAGCAGCUAAGAGGCACCUCUCCUAUCAAGCAACCACACGGCUUCUAAGGCAGCAACCACAGGCAGGAAAGCAUUCUAAACAAACCACGGCUUGCCCCCUGGUCCUCCUGAAGCUUCCUCAUGGCCUCGGCCCCAAAGCUCUGCUGAGAGGCAUCAGCCACAAAGCAAGCACUGCAGCAUGGGGCUGCUGCCUUUCAGAAAUAAAACAAACAGAAGCAAAAAGAAAAGCACUUGUUACUACAGCCAGUUGAGAUUCGGGAAAGAAACAGUGAUCCAAACCCACAGUUCAGCUCAGCCUGCAACCACAAAUGAGAUGAUAAAAUAAAUACCUAAUUGUUUGGGAAGCCAUCUUUCUCUUUGGAGGUUGGAGGAAUUAACCAAACAUUUCUGUGAAGACAUUUGCGUUUCCUCAGCCUUGCGUAUGCAGCAGAGAGAACUGAAGGCGGGUCAGACACGCCAGGUGGGUUAAGGGGGGGAGCGUGGAGCAGGAAGAAACAUCUCCAUCCCGAGCUACUUUCCUCAUGUCACAGAAUCUCACAGAAGUUCCCCAAGGCCUUUGAGAAGAGGUCCAAAACCCCAGGCCUGCCUCAAGUGAACUUUCCUUCGAAAACCAGCACAGCCCCUGCUGCUCGCAACAGAUUCGUGGGAUGUUUAUGGAAUCUUCUAGCCUAGUCUGCACCUUAUCCUUCCAUAAGUUCACCUUCCAGAUCAUUCUAUGUCCUCCCAUGUGUCACGACCAGCUCACGGCACGGCACCACCCCCCCCCUCCCCACAAUCAAGAAGGGUAACCGUAAUACAUCCACAUGUUUCCAAAGCCCGACAUAAGCCCACGUGCCGUAAGGAGGCAGCCCGACCCACUUCACGCUGCCAUCAGUCUUAGGCAUUUUGUCCUGUCUCCCUCUCAACUCCCUCAGCCCAGUCUGGUGUGAGAACUGACUGACCUGCAGACCGUCCCCACGUGCACUCGGCAAGCCCUAACUACAGGACCCACCUGAUAGCCCACCCGCACCAGCCUGCA